rnacentral:rRNA from 1 species
AGUGAACGCUGGCGGUAGGCCUAACACAUGCAAGUCGAACGGCAGCACAGUAAGAGCUUGCUCUUACGGGUGGCGAGUGGCGGACGGGUGAGGAAUACAUCGGAAUCUACUUUUUCGUGGGGGAUAACGUAGGGAAACUUACGCUAAUACCGCAUACGACCUACGGGUGAAAGCAGGGGAUCUUCGGACCUUGCGCGAUUGAAUGAGCCGAUGUCGGAUUAGCUAGUUGGCGGGGUAAAGGCCCACCAAGGCGACGAUCCGUAGCUGGUCUGAGAGGAUGAUCAGCCACACUGGAACUGAGACACAGUCCAGACUCCCACGGGAGGCAGCAGUGGGGAAUAUUGGACAAUGGGCGCAAGCCUGAUCCAGCCAUACCGCGUGGGUGAAGAAGGCCUUCGGGUUGUAAAGCCCUUUUGUUGGGAAAGAAAAGCAGCAGGUUAAUACCCCGCUGUUCUGACGGUACCCAAAGAAUAAGCACCGGCUAACUUCGUG